UUCAGGCACUGAUUUGAUUCGGAGGAGAUUCAGCCCAAUUCAGCAGCUGAAUUUCCAAAUCCGAAUUGAAUUGGGAGACCAAUAAAAAGGUCCAAAUCAAUUUGGAAAAGAUUUGGAGAGCUUCAGAGAUUUGGGCAGCCCCCACUCAGCACCACAGGGAACUGGACCCAGACUCCAUGAUGGUUGGCUGAUCUCCUAUGCUGGGCUUUAAACUACCUCGGAUGAGGGACGGAGAGGCAGAAGGAGGAGAACAUCAGGAACCUUCAAUCCAUGGGACAUCCAGCAGUACAGCACAGGAGGCCCUUGGCAUGUUUGAAAGAUCUGAAAAGUGAUGUCAUAUCAGGUUGUAAAGAGCUAUACUUCUCCACUCUUCCCCAAAAUGAUAAAAGUACUGAGACUAAAAAUACUGGAAACUCAGCAUCCCUCCUCAACAUGGAAAAAAAUGCAAUUCAGAUUACUUCCUUACAGAUAAUAAUGGGCAAAAUCAUAUCUUUUGUUUAUGUUGCUUUGCAAUUCACCUUUAUAGAAGAUACCAUUAAUUUAAAGGGUGGAAGUAAUUAAAGUUUAAUAGGACUUGAAGCUGAAAAACAAAUGUUCUGUGAUCUCCCUUAAAACAUUACAGCAAGGAGAUAAUCUUUAUAUAUAUUUCAAAUGUAUACAUCAGUGUUGGGGUUUCCCCCCACCCCCUCUUUUGAACAUAGGAAGCAAGAAUCCGACACAUUUGUUACAAAUGUUUUUAGUUAAACCAUUAGUUCAGCAAGUUUAAAUAAAAAACCACAGGAAAAUAAACCACCCAUGAAUGUAACUAAUACAGAGAGUUGUAAUGACUAAUUCUGCGGUACAGACUUGAAAGCAUAUUUUUUUCCAUCACAUUAGAAGCCUAGUCUGCCCUUGAAAACUCAUUUGAAACUCAGCCAAGGAAAUAAAAAACAAAAGACUCCCUCCAUUGCCUUUAUCUUAUUGUUCUAUUUUUUCUCUUCAAGUUGCAGUUCUAUGUCUAGAGGUGCCUUAAGUAUUUGAAGAAUCAUUUAGCAUUCUUUUUGCUGUGUGCAAUGCUGAUGAAACUAUUAACUUUGGGAAAGAAAAAUAU